rnacentral:rRNA from 1 species
UACAGAGGUGGCAAGCGUUGUUCGGAAUUACUGGGCGUAAAGGGCGCGUAGGCGGCCCGUCAAGUCCCGUGUGAAAGCCCCCGGCUCAACCGGGGAACGGCGCGGGAAACUAGCAGGCUUGAGUUCGGGAGAGGGAAGCGGAAUUCCGGGUGUAGCGGCGAAAUGCGCAGAUAUCCGGAGGAACACCGGUGGCGAAGGCGGCUUCCUGGACCGACACUGACGCUGAGGCGCGAAAGCUAGGGGAGCAAACGGG